rnacentral:rRNA from 1 species
UACAGAGGUGGCAAGCGUUGUUCGGAAUUACUGGGCGUAAAGGGCACGUAGGCGGUCUUGUAAGUCUUGUGUGAAAUCCCUCGGCUUAACUGAGGAACUGCACGGGAUACUGCGAGACUUGAGAUCGGGAGAGGGAAGCGGAAUUCCGGGUGUAGCGGUGAAAUGCGUAGAUAUCCGGAGGAACACCGGUGGCGAAGGCGGCUUCCUGGACCGACACUGACGCUGAGGCGCGAAAGCUAGGGGAGCAAACGGG